AACAUCGAACUGGUUAUUGAAGUUAUUAACUUCGUAGUCGAAUUAUCUUAACAAUAAAUUACGUAAGCGUGUUUAUUAUUUAGACGUAGUAAUUUCUACGAAUAACAGAAGUUUUUAUUAGAUACGUCAACAGUUCCAAGAGACUUUUGUUACUUUUUUUUAAGUUACUCAGGUCGUAGAAUAAAUUACUUAUUUUAUCCUUCGAUCUAAGCGAGUCUCGUUUAAUCCUGUGCUGAGUUUUGUUAAAGGGAGAAAUUUAUAUACAUUCUCCACCAUAAGUCACCUCCAUUCGCCUGAGCUUGGCGACCGUAGGACGAACGUUUCGUCCGCGAGAUGGUUGACUCGAUAUGGGGGUUGUAUCUCUAUACCCGGUAGGACCUGAACUUGGUCCCUGGAGUGGGAAUAGUCCCCACGCGAGAUUGGUGGACUCGAUUACCGGGUCCUUUUUCACUACCCACACUGGAUCUUUUUUGAAUCUUUGACUUUAAGAAUUUUUUUAUUCUUAGACUCUAUGGCUAGCUGGAUUCCACUGUUUUAAUUAUAAAUGUAAAACAACAGAGGGACAAUCCUCCACUAGGUCGGCGUGGAAGGCCAUGCCGAUGGAACAAUGCUGAAGUGGGGUCAGUAAUCGGGGUGGAAGCCGCAGGAGGAGGUGUU
rnacentral:rRNA from 1 species